AAGUCGUAACAAGGUUUCCGUAGGUGAACCUGCGGAAGGAUCAUUGACAAAUCUAAACAACAUACCCACCUGUGAACUGCAGCACCGAAGGGUGCUGUCGCUGGCGAUCGCAGAGAGUCUCUCUCUAAGAUCCCCUCAAUAUUUACGCAACUGUCUUACAUAUAAACAACAUAUAAACAACAACUUUUAGCAAUGGAUCUCUUGGCUUCU
rnacentral:misc_RNA from 1 species